UACGGCUGUAUCACGUUGAAACACCAGUUCCCGUACGAUCAUCGAAAUUAAGCAACGUCAAGCCCGGUCAGUACCUAGAUGAGUGACCGCUUGGGAAUAUCAGGUGCUGUAA